rnacentral:rRNA from 1 species
AACGUAGGUGGCGAGCGUUAUCCGGAUUUACUGGGCGUAAAGGGUGUGCAGGCUGCCCCCUCAAGUGGUGUAUGAAAGGGCUCGGCUCAACCGGGCUAGGUUAUGCCAGACUGAGGGGCUAGAGAGCGAGAGCGGGACGUGGAAUUCCGGGUGUAGUGGUGAAUGCGUAGAGAUCCGGAGGAACCCCAGAGGCGAAGGCGGCGUCCUGGCUCGCAUCUGACGCUCAGACACGACAGCAUGGGGAGCGAACGGG